CGCGAGAUAUUCUGCCCGCACGGAAGCGACGACUGGCCUGGCCAGAGGACUCGGGUGGGAGCGAGGUGCCGGUCCCGACAGGACGGUGAGCCUACCCGUAUAUUACAAGAAAUCUCAAGUCAAACACUGGAAGAGAUGUCAGAAGAUUCAGAAAAGGAAGACUAUUCAGACAGAACAAUCAGUGAUGAAGAUGAAUCGGUAUGUUUUUCUCAACUUUAUUUUACUUGGAGAUAAAAUUUGUAUUAUAUAACUCCCCAAUUAAAAUAUUAUAAAAUCAAUUGGAAAUAAAAAUCAAUUGGAUGUUUAAAUUAUUAUCAUUGAAGUUGGGAAAUAAUUUGGCUGAAAAAGCUAAGCUAUCACUGGGAACACUAUGCCCUGUCUAGAAAGAGAAACUAUAUUUGUAUUUUUUUUUGAGGAAAUAUUUUAGCUAAGAUUCUUCUAGGUUUUAUUAAAAUUUGUAUAUUAAAUUAUUAGUAGGGUUUUAGUUUUAGGAUUGAUGUCCACUUAUUUUCUUCUGUGUGCUGAUUGGAUUGUGUUACAUCGUAGUAUGAAUCAUAGUAGAACCAC
rnacentral:sRNA from 1 species